UCGAGCGGAACGAUGAUAGCUUGCUAUCAGGCGUCGAGCGGCGGACGGGUGAGUAAUACUUAGGAAUCUACCUAGUAGUGGGGGAUAGCACGGGGAAACUCGUAUUAAUACCGCAUACGACCUACGGGAGAAAGGGGGCAGUUUACUGCUCUCGCUAUUAGAUGAGCCUAAGUCGGAUUAGCUAGAUGGUGGGGUAAAGGCCUACCAUGGCGACGAUCUGUAGCUGGUCUGAGAGGAUGAUCAGCCACACCGGGACUGAGACACGGCCCGGACUCCUACGGGAGGCAGCAGUGGGGAAUAUUGGACAAUGGGGGAAACCCUGAUCCAGCCAUGCCGCGUGUGUGAAGAAGGCCUUUUGGUUGUAAAGCACUUUAAGCAGUGAAGAAGACUCCGUGGUUAAUACCCACGGACGAUGACAUUAGCUGCAGAAUAAGCACCGGCUAACUCUGUGCCAGCAGCCGCGGUAAUACAGAGGGUGCAAGCGUUAAUCGGAAUUACUGGGCGUAAAGGGAGCGUAGGUGGCUCUAUAAGUCAGAUGUGAAAUCCCCGGGCUCAACCUGGGAACUGCAUCUGAAACUGUAGAGCUAGAGUAUGUGAGAGGAAGGUAGAAUUCCAGGUGUAGCGGUGAAAUGCGUAGAGAUCUGGAGGAAUACCGAUGGCGAAGGCAGCCUUCUGGCAUAAUACUGACACUGAUGCUCGAAAGCGUGGGUAGCAAAACAGGAUUAGAUACCCUGGUAGUCCACGCCGUAAACGAUGUCUACUAGUCGUUGGGUCCCUUGAGGACUUAGUGACGCAGCUAACGCAAUAAGUAGACCGCCUGGGGAGUACGGCCGCAAGGUUAAAACUCAAAUGAAUUGACGGGGGCCCGCACAAGCGGUGGAGCAUGUGGUUUAAUUCGAUGCAACGCGAAGAACCUUACCUGGUCUUGACAUAUCUAGAAUCCUGCAGAGAUGCGGGAGUGCCUUCGGGAAUUAGAAUACAGGUGCUGCAUGGCUGUCGUCAGCUCGUGUCGUGAGAUGUUGGGUUAAGUCCCGCAACGAGCGCAACCCUUGUCCUUAGUUACCAGCGGGUUAAGCCGGGAACUCUAAGGAUACUGCCAGUGACAAACUGGAGGAAGGCGGGGACGACGUCAAGUCAUCAUGGCCCUUACGACCAGGGCUACACACGUGCUACAAUGGUAGGUACAGAGGGCAGCUACACAGCGAUGUGAUGCGAAUCUCAAAAAGCCUAUCGUAGUCCAGAUUGGAGUCUGCAACUCGACUCCAUGAAGUAGGAAUCGCUAGUAAUCGCGGAUCAGAAUGCCGCGGUGAAUACGUUCCCGGGCCUUGUACACACCGCCCGUCACACCAUGGGAGUUGAUUGCACCAGAAGUGGAUAGCUUAACCUUC
rnacentral:rRNA from 1 species